CUUCCCCAACCACCCACCCACUCCCUCCUCAUCCGCCACCCAUGCCCAUCGUUCUCAUUCUCCCACGGCACGCUAGGCGUCUCUGACCGGCGAUGCAGAUCUCCGGCCGGCCCGAGCAGUAAGGCUCGUUCUUUUUUGGCGGGCGCGAGCUGAGGGGAGCUGGCCAUGUGCGGUGGUCACAGAAGAGACUGCAGAAGAGACUAGGGAGAGGAUGUACUCGCCUGGAGGUGAAGACGAAGGUUUGUAUGGGGAACAUGGGUGUGAACAAGAUGAACCUGUAUCGGUUACAUCGAGGCUGUCAGUCAAGCAGGUUGUGACAGUGGUGCAAUCGUUCGGUGAGUAGAAGAGGUGGCUGGUGUCGGAAAUAGGAUUUGGGGGUAUGCUAAAGCUGCCACUGAUAGCAAAAAUUGAUCUGAAAUUGAGCUUGUGGGUAAUGAGGAAAGUGGAGGUUGUGUCUCGUAUGAUUGUAAUUGAUAAGGAUCGGAAACUUCUAUUCACUCCAGAGGAUUUCCACAAGGUAUUUGGGGUGCCGUGCGGUAAUAGGGAUGUGCGUGGGAGGGAUGGAGACAUCAGCAUACGUUCUGUUGAGUUCAUCAAGCAUAUCAUUGGGAUGAACAGAUCUGCUGCUCACAGUCUGAAGGCUGCUGAAAUAUUUCUAUACAGGGACAUAAAUGAGAGCUCAACCAAAAUGGAGGACUGUUUCCAGAUUGCGUUUGUUAUUUUUGUGUUGGGAUAUGUGAUUGCUCCGUCCACGAAGCAUGACUAUAUGACGAUUGAUUUUUGGGGUGCAGUUGCAAAUCCGGAACUAAUAGGCCAAUUUAAUUGGUGCCAGUAUGCGAUGGACAAGCUCAUGGGUGCAGUCAUCAAGCUCAAGCAUGAUGAUGAGGAAAGGGCAAUGACUAUUAAUUUAUUCGGAUGCCAUUUUUUCUUCCAAGGUGUAGUGCUUUGAUGCAAAAAGACUUCGGGAAAUGAUCAUUAUGGCAUACUGUCCAAAAAAUGGAGCUGUAUCAUAUGUUCCUGCUGCGCUGAGGCCGACUGAUGAUGUAUGUUAUAAGCGUGUGUUACAUGUGAGUGAUGCGGUCGGUGGCGCAGACAUUGAUGUUUAGAAAGAUAAUCCAUCAUGUUCGAGGCUAGUGUUUAAUAUUGGUGGUGUGAAUCCACCAUUGAGUGCCAUUUCGAAUCGUGCAAGCAUUAGUAAAACGAGCAUAGAGGGCAGCAAAUCGGCACAUGUUGUGAUGCCUGAUCCGCGCUCAGUUGGCCCCAUUGAGUUCUCUAGCCACGUUCGGCAGAGUUGUCAAGACGACCCGAUAUGCAUAUUGUAUUCUUUUUCAACAUACUUUUCUGUUCAAAAGAUUUUUUUGUUUGUGCAUCCUUUUUACAUCCUUUUUUGUGUUCAGUCUCUGCGGGAGUUGAGCUUAUUGCUGAAUGAGCAAAAUGCGAGAUGCAGAUUGAAUGCAUCAGAGCUGCGGAACAAGAUGCAGGCUGAUAUGUUCAGCUUUGCCGACAGGCUUGUAUCGACUGUCAAGGAGCACUGCAGGUGCUGCGCUAGGCGUGGACUAAAAAGAUGCAUCACACUUGUUGAACAGGUGCGGCCAGUGAAGGUGUGCCAGGCAUGUUUAAGACGCCUAUGCGUCACGUCGGACGCCAGCUUGACUUAUCCGAUGAUGAUGACGGGGGUCGUAACUAUGAACCAAGGGAGAAGUCUCCUCGCGGCUCGAUUCGUAUUGGAUGUCAUGGUGCGCAAGAUUCCAUAGGGUGUGUGGGGAUGCAAGAGGAUGGAGAUGCAAAUGUUAUAUACAACAAUUCGGUUGCGGUGCAAAAUGUUGCAAGUGUUGACAAUGGAAUCGCCGAUAGAUUGACAGUGUACGCACAAACUGUGGCGGACAUGGUGCGAUGCAUGUAUGAGACAGACGAUGCUGUUGAUGGUGAAGUUCGUUUCGGUGUUACAGUCCCUGAGGUACCCAAGCGUAGAUAUGUUACAUCUGCUAGUUUUUGCAACGACCCAUGGGGACAAGGUUACUUGCCACAGCCACCGCCAAUCCCAUUGAUGUCCAAGUUUUAUUCAUGGCUAUCUGGGGACAAUGGCUUCUAUUUGAAUGGGUUCUGGUUUGUGGAUCCACACCCUAGAAUGCUCAAGGUGAAUGCAGUGUGUGUGCAGCAACAGUUUUUGGGUGUGAAGGCGCUCGACCAUGAGGUGGCAACGCUUGUUUUGCGGAGAUUCUACCAAAUGGAUGCUGCUACAGCCCCGGUGAACAAAUUCAUGAUGUGGAGGGAAGUGCUCGAGCCGGAUUUCACGUUCUUUGCGUUAGUCAUGCUGGACCAGGGGUGCUCGGCAUACAUGUGGGACAUGCUACGGAAGGAUAUUCAUGUGUUGGAUCUGAUGUGUGCCCAAGUUGCAGGGGGACAUCAACGCCGAAUGAUGCAUGAGGAAGCUGUGUCGCAGAUGCACAAUGCGUUGUUUUCAUGUUUAACUGAAUUCUUCGCAAAGUGGCAUUGUACGUCAGAUAGAUGGAAACGGAGGUUUCCCAGAAUAACGGAAGACAUUUUCACAAGGGAAGAGUCUAGUUUGUGUGCCAUUCAUGCGAUCCGUCAGUAUGACGGAGUAAAACUCAAGUGGCCCCUAAACAAGGGGGAGGUGCAAAGUUUCGCACAUAUGAUUAUGGUCUUCAAGACGACGCACAAUCUACCUGGCACACGAGUUUGUGAAAGUUCACUCGAUGAUCUGCUCGUACAUGAUGUUGGGGUAGUCACCAUGGUUGCCCUUGAGGGUCAGAACUUCAUAGGCCAUCUCCUUCCGAAGAGUCAUGUUCAAAUUUUUGGGUUACGGGGGCUGCAACGACCGUUCUCACGGGAACCCAGUUGCUCGGACCAGCUGGUAGGAAAACAAGGUAGCAAAGCCAGUGCGUCAGUGAGUAUUUUCUUAAGGCAGUAUCAAGUAUUAGAGUACGUAUUUUCAUUGCUGAGCAAAAACUUUCUUUUGACUUACGGCCAGUGGGAGCUGACAUUGGUUCACCAAUGUUUGCUGUAAUGUGAUGAUUGUCGGGAGUUAUGUUGACUCCAGUGUUGGAAGUUGGGAUUCCAAGUGAACCUGCAUAAUUAGGAUCAGUCUCAAAGACAUUGAAAGGUGACACGAAUGUACUUUUUGCUAUAUGAGGAACAUUAGGGUUCAUACUGAUAUGUUGACAUUGGUUUUAAAAAGUGGGGAAAUUAUACUUAUGUGCAGAGUUGUCUGAUGCGCGCCGACAGCCGUCUGGAGUCAUGUAGACAUGAGUAGGUAUAAGCUGAUCUCCAGUUUGCACAUUUGCUUCUCCAACGGAAGCUGAAGGUACAGUUUCACAGUUUUAGGAUGAAUUGUCGAAACAAAGUCAUAUCACGAUAUCAUCUCAUAUGUAUAAGAUGGGUCAUUUCUUAAGACAUACCGGCUGCAAGCAACAAGUCCAGACCGGUAGAUGUGACCAUGAUGUCGGGGUUUGGAGUAACAUCCCACAUGGGCGCAGCAGUGGCAUCACUCUCUCUUGGCGCUGCACUCAGAAAGUAAAUGGCAAUUUUUUUUGCACCACCAUGGCAACUUGUAUUUUGUCGGAACAAUCGACAGAACCAAGAUAUUACCUGGGUUUGUAGCAACGGGACUUGUUCCAAGAUGGAAAGGGUCAGAGUUGAAGGUGCCGGUGGUUGUUUGCGCAAGCACAUUAGCACUCGUGUCACCUUUUGUUGUCAGAAUGGCAAAACUUAGUUAGCAUAGUGUUUCAGGUGUUUCAAUUAAUAGUGUCAUUUUUUUGAGGUACUGAUGCUCUCAUGUUGUAAGCGCUCACCGUGAUUAGGUUUCUUUGAUGGCGGGGCAGAGUUGCAGAGUGCUCCAACUGAAAGAUCCCUUGGUCGCCAUCUCGUGUACUGGACUAUAUCCUUCGUCACUUUAGGUAACUACGGGUACGGGAAUGGUAUGGAGUUGGAGGACACGUCAAUCGCCCAC